GCAUAUCAAUAAGCGGAGGAAAAGAAACUAACAAGGAUUCCCCUAGUAACGGCGAGCGAAGCGGGAAGAGCUCAAAUUUGAAAGCUGGCACCUCCGGUGUCCGCGUUGUAAUCUCGAGACGUGUUUUCCGUGCGGCUCUAUGGACAAGUCCCUUGGAAUAGGGCAUCGUAGAGGGUGAGAAUCCCGUACUUGCCAUGGAAGAACCGUGCUUUGCGAUACACGCUCUAAGAGUCGAGUUGUUUGGGAUUGCAGCUCAAAAUGGGUGGUAGACUCCAUCUAAAGCUAAAUAUCGGGGAGAGACCGAUAGCGAACAAGUACCGUGAGGGAAAGAUGAAAAGCACUUUGGAAAGAGAGUUAAAAGUACGUGAAAUUGUCGAAAGGGAAGCACUUGAAGUCAGCCAUGCUGCUUGAGACUCAGCCUGGCCUUUGGGCUUGGUGUAUUUCUCGGUGGCAAGCCAGCAUUGGUUUGGGUCGUCGGAGAAGCGCAUAGGGAAUGUAGCGUUUCCGGACGUGUUAUAGCCUUAUGCAGGAUACGACGACCUGGAUCAAGGAACGCAGUGUGCCCUCUGGGCGGGUCUUCGGACACCUUCACACUUAGGAUGCUGGCGUAAUGGCUUUAAGUGGCCCGUCUUGA
rnacentral:rRNA from 1 species